UACGUAGGGUGCAAGCGUUGUCCGGAAUUAUUGGGCGUAAAGAGCUCGUAGGCGGUUUGUCGCGUCUGCUGUGAAAACUCGGGGCUUAACCCCGGGCCUGCAGUGGGUACGGGCAGACUAGAGUGCGGUAGGGGAGACUGGAAUUCCUGGUGUAGCGGUGAAAUGCGCAGAUAUCAGGAGGAACACCAAUGGCGAAGGCAGCUCACUGGGACGGUAUUGACGCUGAGACGCGAAAGCGUGGGGAGCAAACAGG
rnacentral:rRNA from 1 species